rnacentral:rRNA from 1 species
AUGGGUAGCCGGCCUGAGAGGGUGAACGGCCACAAGGGGACUGAGACACGGCCCUUACUCCUACGGGAGGCAGCAGUGGGGAAUAUUGGACAAUGGACCAAAAGUCUGAUCCAGCAAUUCUGUGUGCACGAUGAAGUUUUUCGGAAUGUAAAGUGCUUUCAGUUGGGAAGAAGUCAGUGACGGUACCAACAGAAGAAGCGACGGCUAAAUACGUGCCAGCAGCCGCGGUAAUACGUAUGUCGCAAGCGUUAUCCGGAUUUAUUGGGCGUAAAGCGCGUCUAGGCGGCUUAGUAAGUCUGAUGUGAAAAUGCGGGGCUCAACCCCGUAUUGCGUUGGAAACUGCUAAACUAGAGUACUGGAGAGGUAGGCGGAACUACAAGUGUAGAGGUGAAAUUCGUAGAUAUUUGUAGGAAUGCCGAUGGGGAAGCCAGCCUACUGGACAGAUACUGACGCUAAAGCGCGAAAGCGUGGGUAGCAAACAGGAUUAGAUACCCUGGUAGUCCACGCCGUAAACGAUGAUUACUAGGUGUUGGGGGUCGAACCUCAGCGCCCAA